rnacentral:misc_RNA from 1 species
CUAUACUCUUCGUGGUUUGUAUAUCGAUACCUCCUAUUCAAACCAGAUCGGGAAGAGCUAUUCCAGAUUAUCAGCAAGUCAGUAUCUGAUAUCUUGGGCCAGUAAAUCAUGUGUGUAAUUUUAGAUCAUGAAGUUUUCCUUUAUUAAAACUUAAUUUGCUUAUAGUUUCAUUCUGUGCGGAUGCCGAUUGUCAAAGAAUAUGGCAUCUUGUUUUGAGCUGCACUUGUUUGCUGUAGAUGUUUAAACUUGCUCUUUAUGGAAGGCUUAACCAUUGCAUUAACCAAUUCACACAUGCCUAACCCAUAAAGAGCAAGUUUAAACAUCUACAG